rnacentral:rRNA from 1 species
UACGUAGGGUGCGAGCGUUAAUCGGAAUUACUGGGCGUAAAGCGCGCGUAGGCGGCUUUGCAAGUCGGGUGUGAAAUCCCCAGGCUUAACCUGGGAACUGCAUUCGAGACUGCAUUGCUAGAGUAUGGGAGAGGGAAGUGGAAUUUCCGGUGUAGCGGUGAAAUGCGUAGAUAUCAAGCGGAACACCGGUGGCGAAGGCGGUUCUCUGGGCCUGUACUGACGCUGAGGAGCGAAAGCGUGGGGAGCGAACAGG